CCCAGCCCCUCCACCCCAUGGACCUGGAGCCCUUGCAGGAGGGGGAAGUCAAGCAGUGGCCCAAAGACACAGUCAUCCUCCUGGUUUGGGACGAGGGGCUCUGGGGUGCCCAGGGGGCUGGUCUGGAACCAGAGGUUCUCAUAAAACUUGGGACUGGGAGUAAGGCCCCCUAAGAGGGGCUGAGUAGAGUCACAACGGAGGUAGUGCCCUGGACCUGGGCUGGUGGGGCUGCCCAACACCUUCCCGUAGAGGACCUGGUCACUGGUGCCGGACUGGGGCUGGGUCUGGGUGGAACAUGCUCUUGGGUCCCCCUGGAGCACGUAGGCCUGGACCAGGGUGGGGAGGCCACAGGUCCCUGAGCUGUCAUUUGACUCCCAGGGCCCUGGCUUCUUCUCCUCUUCCUCCAGCACUGUGAUCUUGGUGAUGGGUGGCAUGCCAGUGUCCCGAAGGCUGGGCAGCUGGAAGGUCUCCUGGACACAAGGACGGGGGGUGAGGACGUGAUUCAUCUGAGACAUUCGUCCCAACCAGUGUCCCUUCCUGAGUUGGGGACAGUUGAGAUAUUCCUGCUGCGCUCUGCUGGAACCCCUGAGGAUGAUGCUUGUGAAGCACCUCAUGCUUUUCUGACACCUGCUCUGCACUUCAGACUUAGCUUAAGCAGCGGAAGGCCCCUUGGGCAGAGAGGAGAUGGUGCAGUGCCUGAUCCAGACGUGGGCCCUGAGGCCUGUGAGGGCGAGGAGGGACUUGGAUUGGCCCACCCCAGCCUGCAGUUCCCUGUGGGCAGGGGCAGGAGAGAGCAGCAGGAGCAUCAAGGAACGGCCUUCUUCCCCCUUCCCUUCUAUCCUAGCCGGGCUAGCAUGCAGAUGGCUUAUUUUGGAAAGAUCCCAGGAACAGACUGAAGGGGUUGGGCGGAAUGGACAGGUGAGGGAGGAGGGAAAGCCAACAAGUGUGCGUCACGGAGUUGGUCAUCUCUAUGGACAGCUUGGGCUCCCUCCUUCUGGAACCUUCCAAGGAGCUGUGAGAAACAUGCCUCAGGACACUUGAUCCCUUGAACAGGAGGGAGGAUGGCAACGUUUAUCUACCGACUUCCGUUCCCCAUGGGUCAAGGGAUGUUCUUUGGGGGUACUAGCUUCCUGACACAUCCAGGUUACACACGCAUGCCUGUGAGGCAAGUUCUCUGGGGUGAGCAGGGCCUGAAGGGUCAGAGACGCUCCCUGGCAGAAAGGGAUAGCUCCAUGGGGUAGCUGGGCCAAGGGGCUCGGGCAGCUGGCCUCCAUGGUGAUGGCGGGAACGGGAGGGCGCAAGGGGUCCGACACCCCAUCCCCGCCCCCUGUUCAGGGCUCGGGCCUCCAGAGGUUUUUCUGGGGUCAGGUGUCCUGUAGUCACGGUGACAGCAUCUGGAUGUGGAGAGCGGUAGUUCCUGCCUCAACACCCAUGCAAAAUUGUCCCACUGGGGUGGGCUCUGGCCUAACCCUGCCUCCUGCUCCCACCGGGAUCUUGGGGACCAGGCACCAGGGUCUCUGGCACUGAUUGGCAGUCUUGGCAGCUGAUAAGUGUACACAGGAGCAUGACGUGUACUGGUGCCCUGUCCUUGGAUGGGGAAGGCUGCUCUCCCUUUUCUCCCCGGGCUAUGCACAGGUGUGAACAAGAACUGCCUGACAUACAACCACUGUUCCCUCUCACGGGGGCCGGACCCCAAGCCCUGGGCGAUGAUCCAUCUACAUUUCCGGAUCAAGAUGCCAGGGGACUGCUCGCCUGUGAGUCACAUUUUGGCAAAUCAGGAAAAAAGUGCCCCUUCCUCUGGGCAGUUGCAGCCCCACACCAAGACCUGGCAGCUGAAGAAUAGGUUGGUUUCAGCCUCCACUUGCUCCUCAGCUGGGCAGCUUUGUGCAGUGAGAAACCCACACAACUGUUCAGGGCAUCCCCGUCUACCAAUCAGUGGUUGGCAACUGUCUUACUGCUGCGUACCAGUUUGAUCGUCCCCCAUGCACACUGGGUGGGGAAGAUGUGGCCUCCUAGGCUCAGGCUUUGAGGCACUGGUUUCUAUUCCCAUGUGCUUUGGAUCAUACCCCAGCCCUGCUGCCCCAGCGAGGGUCAGCAUGGGGCCCAGCCUGUGCCCUGCAAGGUACUGCUUCAUCCCUCUCCUCCGGCUCCUGUCCGGAAUAGGCAACCAGACCCCCCCCACUCGAGAGGCCCCUGCGUUCUCCCCCUGGGAUGCUGAGCGAUGGCAUGUUUGGCACCAGUUCCUGGUCGCCCACAGCAGCCCGGGGCGCCCCCCACCCCAGCUGGGUGUGCUCGGGGGGACGUGUGGGAGCAGGGCCUCGCUGCGGGCUGGCUCUAAGCCAGACCACCUGCUCUGAAGCCCGGCUCCACAACUCACCAGCUUCGUGACCUUGGAUGAGUUACUUCAUCGUUCUGAACCUCGGUUUCCCCAUCUGUGAAAGGGAGAGGACGUGAGCACCCAGUUCCCGGGGUCGUAGUGAGGAGGCACCCAGGUGGGCUGGGACGGAGGUGCUCAGCACGGAGCCUGCACGGCAGGAGCUCUCAGUGACCAUGAGUGCUUUCCACGCAUGACGAUGUGGGUCGCCGUGUCAUGGGAUCCAGCAUGUGGCCUCGUCCCCUGCUCCUGGCCUCCUGGGACAGCCACCUUGCUUCUGUCUGUGUCACGCUUCAUGGCUUCAAAGUCCUGUUCUGGGGUCCCCUGCUUGCAGCUCCUUGCCCCCCACCCCGGGUCCCCUUGGCUCUGGCCAUCUCCUCGGUUCUCCCGCUCGGUCCAGUGGAACCUGCUGCCUCCCGGAGGCCAUCGCAGGCCUCUUCCUCUCUCCUCUCCUCUCCCUGCACUCUCCCCUGCUCUCCCUGCCCCAGCUCGCACCCUCUCUGCCCUGUCGGGUCUCCUCUCCCAUGGCGGGGGGACGCCCACCCCACCGAUGUUGGGCCGUGAAAGGGGGCGCACAGCCGCACAAUGAGGGAGAAAGUGAAAUAGGUGUGCGGGCGGAGAAGGCUGGGCAGGACAGGUGCACAGGGAAGAGCCCAGGGGGAGACACAGGUGCUCGAGGCCAAGAAGCCAGAGGUCCCCAGGAGAGUUUAGGAUUCAAGAGAAGGAAACGUGAGAGACGUGGAAAGGCACAGAAAGAUUCAGAUGCAGGAGAGGGAGACCCAGAGUCUGGACUGGCCAGGGAGAAACGGGUGUGGGGGUGGGGGACGCAGAGAGGGUUGGUGAUUAUGCCCGUCCCAGAGCCCAGCUCCAUGUCCCCAAGGAGAUGGCUGGCUGUUUGUGACCUCCUCGGUGAGUACCCCCCAAAGUGGGGGCAGCCCUGCAAAGGAGCCUCCGUGUCCCGGGCUCCUGGUUCCCAGGGACCAAGGCUAAAGGCAGGAGCCCUGGUCCCGGGCCUGCACACGGGCACUCGGCAGAGCUGGGGCAGUGGACGUGGGGUCGAGGCCCUGGUGCAGCACCCCCCCCCGCCACGGAUCCUCUACUCACGCUGGAGGCUGGAGCCCGUGGGGCCCCUGCCCGGCCUCCCCGGCCUCUUCUCUCCUCUCUGGGCCAGUUCCUGAAAACAGCCACCGUCGGGCUUCUCUCCCCAGCCCUGUCGUUGAUGGCUCUGGCUCGGCCUGUGACAGGCCCAGGGGCUGCGGAUUGCAACACCUGCCCAGCCUCCUUCCCUCCCUCGGGCUGUCACUCAGGCGCCAGGCACAGGGCAGCCCCUUCCUCCCAGGAAGGAGCCUCAGAGGGAAGCCGGUGAGGGGUGAGGCCGGGCAGCCUUCCUGCCUCGGGGGUCUCAUCGGGGCUGGGGGAUGUGGCAACGGUGUCCCUCUCGCCCGCCUCCGGAUUUCCUGACCUCAGAGCUUUUGAGUCUGGCCAGGGCCCAGGCCUCAGGGCACUGGGGUGCCAUUCCGUGCCCCUACCCCUGGGACAGCAUGGGUGGGACACAGACCCUGGCUCGAGUAGCCUCGGGGCCCUGACCUCACGGGUCUCAGGGGGCAGCCUCCAGGUCAGGGAAAGGUUUGUAACACGUACCUACUCGCCGGGCCCCUCAUCACCGCAUGUCUUCCACCAUUGACAGGCGAUGGAGAAAUGGGGACUCUGGGAACAAGCCCCGGGGAUGACCUGGGAGGCUCGGGGUCUUCGAAAGCAGCCUUGAAGUUACUUAACUCACAGCGCUUCUGCUACCCUGACCAUGUUCUGACUGAGUGCACUAGGCUACAUUGUGUCUCUCCUUGUCUGUAUCCAUGAGUCCCCUGGAACGGUUUAUAAAUAAU